GGGCCGGGAGUUCACAGUUCACAAAGCGCCGGCUCACACUAACGUCAGGGGCGGGGCGGAGGCAGUUUUGGGCUCUUGGGGACCCGCAGCCAGGACGCAGCGGAGCUGGGGCGCAGCCCUGGCUCGGGAGCCGGCCUUCCUCUGCGUGUUCCGUUUUCGCCUGAGUGCCCCCGGGCAACCCAGGAGAGUCACUGAUGCUUCCAGUUUCGCCGCCCGCGGGCGGGGUGGGGACUGUCAGGCCAGGGCGGAGGGGUCAGGGCUUCCUGUUUUGUGUUGCAAAUUUACGUGGAUUUGGGGUUUUGUAGUUCCGUAAUAGAGCUGCGUUUGUUUUUCAUAUGUAGUAUCCCUCCCUGUUGAAUAAUCGAGUGCAAUUUACGCUCCAUGCAGAUGUGUCGCGUUUUUUUCUGUGGCUUCUUGUACGUCACCCCACCCCUGGUUAGUCUAUACUAGAACCCAGUAGAACAGCCACUUUUCUGUCUGUAAACCCAUCUCUUUUAGUUCUUUCAAUCGUUAACCGCUUUAAAACCCAACUUUCUUUCCACAGAUCUUCAUCGUGUCAGACGAUAAAGCACUUGCGCGAGGUGCCGGAGACCAAGAUGAUAACAGUUGUCCUGUGGUCUCAGGAAGCGGGGAAUUCCUGGUCUUCCCAGGCCUUUGGCGAGACUCCUGCCUGCUCUACUGCUCUACUGCCCGUUUGGGUUAGAUGCCUCGGGAAGAUCCUCUUAAUUCAGAGAACUCGUGACUCCGUGAAAAGUAUCACCCGUCAGGUAAAAGAGAGGCAAGGAGAGAAACAAAGAUGUGAGCACAAACCCAGGCAAGUGUGGAGCGGUGCGGGAUGCGGUUAGAAGGGCCAACUCUACAGCUGAACUGUAUGGGUUAGAAUACUGGACUUUUUCUUACUAACCCUGGGAAGUGCAAACGAUAGUCUUGGGGAGGACCAAGCACCAGACUGCACUCAUCCUCCUUGAGCCUCAGUGGUGUGUGUCACCUCCCUCUGUCAUGCUGUGGAUUCCUUGAGAGUGGGCUCUGGGACUACGUACAGCUCUGCAGCCUGCCAUGCUCUCCACGUUCUCCCUCAGGACCUUGCCCAUGAGAUCCCAAGAAGUGCACCCGUGCUCUGAAGAGGCAGACUGAGGCUGUAGGGGCCCGGCCGCCCCUCCCCACAAUGCUUUGGCCGGUCAGCCAGCACCCGAGACCGCAGACCAGCCUGACAGGCCGGCAGAGUCCCUAGCCUCUGGCUUUCCUCACAUGGGAGAGCUGGUUAAAAGUCAACAUUCCCGGAACUGAAUGGGGAGAAGCUUGGGGAGAAGGGAAGAAGCCUGAUCUCUCCCCAGCGGUGUGUGUACCAAGAGAAGAUGAACGUGAUGCUCUGGGAGUUCAGCUAUCUCCCGGGAGAGAAAUGCAUCCGUUGAUUACAUUUCCGUUCUGAAAAACAUGGUCCUUGGAAUAGUGCUUAGCUGAUCCUGGCACUGGUCUGUGAAAGCUAAAUUGUCUCUGCCCCCAACUCAUCCCUCCCACAUGGUGGAUUUGGAGAAAGAGCUGGAUUUGGAGAGGUUGAGGAGGAAGGGGGGCCCAGGACAUGGCAGGGGCUGGAGGUAGAGCAUGUGAAGACAUGGUGGUGUGGGGUUAUGCCCCUGGCACUCCUGUGGGGCAAAUAGAAGGGCCCGCGCGGGACUGCACAGGGGCUUAAGAGGUGUGCACAAAGGCAGAGCCCUCUCUGCCCAGGCACCGUCCAUGGAAGGCAAUGUCGAUUCAGCAUUGCCCCUCUGCUUCCCACUCAGAACAAACAUUCUUUCCUGUUUACACAUUAGGGGGUCAUGUCUGGAGGAGGUGGAGAGGAGAGCCCCCUGCAGCUCCUCUAGGAAGCUCCUGGGAGGGAGUGAUAGGGAACAGACAAGACCAGGGCCAGAGAGCAUGGGAGGAGAGAGGAUCCAUCCAUGUUGAGUCCCGGGGGAGGAGGGCUGCACUGCAGACAGCUGGCAGUGCCAGAAGCUGGGGGCAGAGGGCACAUGGCAGGAGACAGGAGGAGGAGCUACACUUCACAUCUAAGAGGAGGAGGUACUGGUCCUCUGUUUCCCUUUGGGCUUUUGUUGUUUAACUGAGUGAUUCCUGGCCCCGGGGCAACACAGAGCAUUUCUCUGACAUGCACUAGAGAUGUGACUUAAUUGCCUUCAGAUUCUGCUUGGGGUUUUUCCCUCUGAAUUUCACCAAAUGGUCCAGGUUUACCCUGACUGCCAUUUUAGUGUGUUUUAUUUUCUCUACCACCUAAUGUCCCAGCGGUCCCCAGAAGCUGCACACCUUUCUGUAAGCCCCAGGGUGAGCCUACUCUGAAAGUCUGGACCAGGCCCGGGAAGAUCUGCUCAUGGGCUGUGAUUUGGGCACCUUGCCCCCUCCCCUGCCCACAUGCCCUCCUUCCUAGAGCACACAGACUCUCAGGCAGUGUCUGAGAUGCCAUAAUAUGGAAAGAGCUAAUUCCUUGGAAGAAAAUGUAGGCUCCUCUUUGGGCCUUGGAUUUAAAAUGCAGACUCGAGGUAGGGUAAACUGCCUUGCGGUUUAGGGUGAAUUUAUCAGUUAGCUUUUAUCCUCUAAGAGAGACUGAUCUGACAGUACCUGGUAUCACCUGGAACUGCUCCACCUCUGAGCCCUUGACUUCAAACAUGCCACUCUCUGGGUACAAAUCUUCUGUCCUUUCAGCUUUUCCCUAAACCCCUCAUUCUUCCUCAAGACCUUCAGCUCUCAACCCCUCUGAGUCUGUCAGCUCCUCCUGACCUCACCCCUUCCCUGACUAGGUCUCUGCUCCUUGAUUGACCAUUUGACCCAGCCUCUUCUAUUCUUUUUUUUAUUUUAUUUUUUGAAUUUUAUUUUAUUUAUUUUUUUAUAGAGCAGGUUCUUAUUAGUUAUCCAUUUCAUACAUAUUAGUGUAUACAUGUCAAUCCCAAUCUCCCAGUUCAUCCCACCACCACCACCACUACUUCCCCCUCUUGGUAUCCAUACAUUUGUUCUCUACAUCUGUGUCUCUAUUUCUGCCUUGCAAACUGGUUCAUCUGUACCAUUUUUCUAGGUUCCAUAUAUAUGCGUUAAUAUACGAUAUUUGCUUUUCUCUUUCUUCACUCUGUAUGACAGUCUCUAGAUCCAUCCACAUCUCUACAAAUGACUCAAUUUCGUUCCUUUUUAUGGCUGAGUAAUAUUCCAUUGUAUAUAUGUGCCACAUCUUCUUUAUCCAUUCGUCUCUCGAUGGGCAUUUAGGUUGCUUCCAUGACCUGGCUAUUGUAAAUAGUGCUACAAUGAACAUUGUGGUGCAUGUGUCUUUUUGAAUUAUGGUUUUCUCUGGGUAUAUGCCCAGUAAUGGGAUUGCUGGCUCAUAUGGUAAUUCUAUUUUUAGUUUUUUAAGGAAGCUCCAUACUGUUCUCCAUAGUGACUGUAUCAAUUUGCAUUCCCAACAACAGUACAAGAGGGUCCCCUUUUCUCCACACUCUCUCCAGCAUUUGUAGUUUGUAGAUCUUCUGAUGAUGCCCAUUCUAACUGGUGUGAGGUGAUACCCCAUUGUAGUUUUGAUUUGCAUUUCUCUAAUAAUAAGUGAUGUUGAGCAGCUUUUCAUGUGCUUCUUGGCCAUCUGUAUGUCUUCUUUGGAGAAAUGUCUGUUUAGGUCUUCUGCCCAUUUUUGGAUUGGGAUGUUUGUUUAAUAAUGAGCUGCAUGAGCUGUUUAUAUAUUUUGGAGAUUAAUCCUUUGUCCAUUGAUUCAUUUGCAAAUAUUUUCUCCCAUUCUGAGGGUUGUCUUUUCAUCUUGUUUGUAGUUUCCUUUGCUGUGCAAAAGCUUUUAAGUUUCAUUAGGUCCCAUUGGUUUAUUUUUGUUUUCAUUUCCAUUACUCUAGGAGGUGGAUCAAAAAAGAUCUUGCUGUGAUUUACGUCAAAGAGUGUUCUUCCUCUAAGAGUUUUAUAGUGUCCGGUCGUACACUUAGGUCUCUAAUCCAUUUUGAGUUUAUUUUUGUGCAUGACGUUAGGGAGUGUUCUAAUUUCAUUCUUUUACAUGUAGCUCUCCAGUUUUCCCAGCACCACUUAUUGAAGAGACUGCCUUUUCUCCAUUAUAUAUCCUUGCCUCCUUUGUCAUACAUUAGUUGACCAUAGGUGCGUGGGUUUAUCUCUGGGCUUUCUAUCCUGUUCCAUUGAUCUAUAUUUCUGUUUUUGUGCCAGUACCAUACUGUCUUGAUUAUUGCAGCUUUGUAGUAUAGUCUGAAGUCAGGGAGUCUGAUUCCUCCAGCUCCAUUUUUUUCCCUCAAGACUGCUUUGGCUAUUCGGGGUCUUUUGUGUCUCCGUACAAAUUUUAAGAAUUUUUGUUCUAGUUCUGUAAAAAAUACCAUUGGUAAUUUGAUAGGGAUUGCAUUGAAUCUGUAGAUUGCUUUGGGUAGUAUAGUCAUUUCACAAUAUUGAUUCUUCCAAUCCAAGAACAUGGUAUAUCUCUCCAUCUGUUUGUGUCAUCUUUGAUUCCUUUCGUCAGUGUCUUAUAGUUUUCUGAGUACAGGUCUUUUACCUCCUUAGGUAGGUUUAUUCCUAGGUAUUUUAUUCUUUUUGUUGCAAUGGUGUAUGGGAUUGUUUCCUUCAUUUCUCUUUCUGAUCUUUCGUUGUUAGUGUAAAGGAAUGCAAGAGAUUUCUGUGCAUUAAUUUUGUAUCCUGCAACUUUAUCAGAUUCAUUGAUUAGCUCUAGUAGUUUUCUGGUGGCAUCUUUAGGAUUCUCUAUGUAUAGUAUCAGGUCAUUUGCAAACAGUGACAGUUUUACUUCUUCUUUUCCAAUUUGUAUUCCUUUUAUUUCUUUUUCUUCUCUGAUUGCCGUGGCUAUGACCCAGCCUCUUGUAAUCUGGCCCUGUGUUAGUGUCCUAGGGCUGCUGUAACAAAGUACCAUAAGCUGGGGGGGAUGGGGGGGGAGGUGUCUUAAAACAAUGGGAAACUUAUUGUCUCACAGUUCUAGAGGCCAGAAGUCCAAAAUCAAUGUGUUGGCAGUGCCGCGCUCCCUCUGAAGGCUCUAGGGGAAAAUCUUUCCUUGCCUCCUCCAGCUCCUGGUGGUUCCUGGUGUCUCUUAGCUUGUAGCAGCAUAACUCCAGUUUCUGCCUCAUCUCCACAUGGCCUUCUUCCAUGUGCAUCCUUUUCUGUCUCUUAUAAUGACACCAGUCAUUGGAUUUAGGGCCCACUCUAAUCUAGUAUGACCUCAUCUCAAUUCUUACCUAAUUGCAUCUGCAAAGACCCUAUAUCUGGAACCAGACUUCAGAGAGAUAAUGGAGCUCAGUGAGCAGGAACUCCCUCGACCUCCAGCCCUAGGGCCCUAAAAAUUAUCCAUCUUUUCACCUUUCCCACCUUCCUUCCACACAUUUAAGGCUGUAGGCAUCCCUCCUCUUCUUGGAGGUUCAUUCAGAUCUUUACAACACUUGCCUGGUCUACGGUAAAUUAUCCUGACUAUAUUUUUCUGCUUCCACAUUCAUCCCACUCUUAUCUCUCCUCUCAUUCCACUCUGCUGCUUAAAAGCUAUUCAUUCAUUCAUUCAUUCACUUAUUUAUUAAGCACCUACUAUCUGCCAGCCAUUAUGUUAGCUCCGGCCACCACUCUGGCCUCAUUUGCUGCAACCAAUGAAAUCAUUGCCAGAAAGAGCUUUCCAUGGAUUUGCCAUAGGAUAAAUUUCACUUUCUUAGGUUGUGGAUAACGCCCUUAAUAUGUGACCCCACCUACCCUUGACCUCUGUCUCCCAUAGCUCACACAUCUAGCCAGGCCAAGCCGCGGUCUUAUACUUGCACACCAUGGUGCCUUUCCUCUGAUUGAAAUGCCUCUGCCUCCUGUCUGCCUGGAAAGCUAGUCAUCUCCAAAGAUUCUGUGCUAAUGUUACCACCUCCCAAGAGGCUUCCUGGACAAUCCUGUCCUGGACCCCCUAUUUUUUGCCACAUAAAACUCUUACUGCAUGAAUCAUACUGCCUUUUGAUGAUUUGAGAGACAUGUCUCUCUCUUUUCCCUUGGAGUCCAGGACAAUAUUUUAUUCAUUUUUAUAUCCUCUGUAUCUGGAAUAUGUUUUAAUAAAUGUUUAAGUUUUUCA